rnacentral:rRNA from 1 species
GACGAGCGCUGGCGGCGUGCUUAACACAUGCAAGUCGAACGGAAAGGCCCUGCUUUUGUGGGGUGCUCGAGUGGCGAACGGGUGAGUAACACGUGAGUAACCUGCCCUUGACUUUGGGAUAACUUCAGGAAACUGGGGCUAAUACCGGAUAGGAGCUCCUGCUGCAUGGUGGGGGUUGGAAAGUUUCGGCGGUUGGGGAUGGACUCGCGGCUUAUCAGCUUGUUGGUGGGGUAGUGGCUUACCAAGGCUUUGACGGGUAGCCGGCCUGAGAGGGUGACCGGCCACAUUGGGACUGAGAUACGGCCCAGACUCCUACGGGAGGCAGCAGUGGGGAAUAUUGCACAAUGGGCGGAAGCCUGAUGCAGCAACGCCGCGUGCGGGAUGGCGGCCUUCGGGUUGUAAACCGCUUUCGCCUGUGACGAAGCGUGAGUGACGGUAAUGGGUAAAGAAGCACCGGCUAACUACGUG